rnacentral:lncRNA from 1 species
AUAAAUCGGGUAGCUGUUCCAAUGUCGCAUUGUCAUAUACCCACAACUGUUGCAGAUUCAGAGGAAGUUCAUAAAAUGAGGGCCCACACCCUGAAUGGUUACGCAAAAUAAGACUAUGUAGGUUAGACAGCUUAAGAAGACUCAAAGUCUCCGUUGAAAAACUCUGGCUCUCAUCAGUGAUGCUUAGCUCCUUCAAAGAAGAGACACUUUGAAUCUUAGGUAGCCAUAACCUUAUAUUACAACAUAGGUCUAGUCUUUCCAAUCUCGUACUCUUCACCCUCUCAGGCAAAUUAAUUAUUUCUCUGUACGAUGAGGGAAAUUGUAAUGUAGAAAGUGAUGUAAGAUUCCAGAUGCUACUGGGAAGAUAUCUAAGAUUACGACAGGCACUCAAGUUCAACACUUGUAGGCUACUCAGUUGACCAAUAGAAUCUGGUAAUUCGUUAAUUUGUUCACAGUCGGCAUGAAGACGUUCUAAGGAUUGCAUCUUCCCCAAUUCCUCAGGCAAUCGCUUCAGCUCAUGACAGCCUCCUAGAUCAAGUGCUUUGAGCAACAUCAGCUUACAUAUGCUAUCUGGAAGAGCAGUUAGGUUUUUGCACCAAAACAAAUUCAAAUGGACUAAUUUAAUAAGCUCUCCAAACGAAUCUGGCAAUUGUUCAAUUCCACUCCAACUUGCAACAAACGUUUUUAAGCCUUGCAUAUUACCCAUUCGCUCUGGCAACCGUUUCAGAUUGUGGCAAGACUCCAGUUUCAAAUGGUUCAAACGAGUCAACUGCGUGAUAGUCCCGGGCAACUGAUUCAGAUUGACACAAUGACUUAAAUUAAAAUGUCUCAACAGAGUCAACUGCCCAAUUGACUCCGGCAAUUCUUUCAACAGGCGGCAGCGACCCAUAUCUAAAUGACCCAAAUUACUCAACUGGCCAAUAGUUGGGUGUACUUUAGAUAAAUUUUGACAACCAUACAGUAAUAACCUCUCAAGCACUUUCAAAUCACUCAAGUUACGGAUGCUUUUUAGCUUAGAGUGACUCACAUUUAGACUCUUCAAGCUCCCAGGUGGCUGUUCCAAACAUAAUACAAAUCAGUAUAAUAAACAUAUUUUCAAUUUAAAACUUCUUUUAAAAUGUAAUUCUAAUAUUAUAUAAAGGUUUUGAAUAUCAGUAACUCCUACUCCCAUUCGUAUCUUAAUAUUUUAUACUCCUUCUUGAAUACUUAAAAGUAUGCGAAAAAAAGUUAAGAGACUAAUAUAUCUUUGUUGAGUUAGAGGUUUCACUAUUCAGGUCUGGUUUAGGAUACAUAAGUACUAAAACUAUUCUAUUUUGGUAUUAAGUACUAAAAAUUAUAAAUUUGUAUAUUACAUUUACUACUUGAUUUGUAUAUAAUACUCUCCAUAUAACUUUUUUGAAAAUUCUAAAUUAAAUAAUGAUAAAACUUCCCAUUUAAUUUUUCUACAAAUUCUAAAAAUAUAAUUGUUUGAUGUUUGUUAAAGUCCCCAUUUUAAGUGGCAUACUCACAUAACAUCAAUAAAUCAUGUCAUAACUACAAUUAAAACAAAUAUUAACUUAUCAUGAGCUUACUUGUUUGGCAUCAUUAGCUUUUACAUAUACAAUAAUUAUUUAAUAUCAUUUGUUCUAUAUUUUAAUAUUCUUCGUUAGACUAAAAUUUGAUUUGACCUAUAUGAAAAACAGAGAAUACAUACCUUCCACGAUGAAUCAAGCUGAUUGUAUGACAUGUCAAGACAGACAAGUUCUGGUGAACAAAAUUUAGCAUUAACACUUGUCCACGGGGAAUGGGACCAUCGCAUGCACCUCAACUCCGGACAUGAAUUUUUAAAAUCUCCCGAGAUAAUGUUAUGUGGAUCAAUUAUUUCAAGUAAUCUCAACUUGCACAGCUUUCUAAAUAUUUUGGUAGUCAAUUGUCUUGCUGUGGAUCUGGUUAAGUCGAGUAACAAAAGUUCGAUAUGAUCUGCUCCCUGAUAAGGCAAAAAUAUGAUAAAAACUAGCAUAAGACUUUUCUUGUUAGAUGCUUGGCAGCAAACAGGCCUUUGAUGUAGUUAGCUAAUAAUAUUACUGGUUCGGUAUUAGCACGUUCGAUAUGCAUAUACAUAAAACACCAUGUAGUCAUGGUUUUCAUUUAACUUUGGUCACAGAGACUAUUUACUGAUUAGGAUUUGCCCUUGGGUCAGUGAUUACCUCUAGAUUUUGCAACCGCUCGCAUGCAUUUUCUUGAUACAAGCGCAAGUAUCUGCCGUUCCCUUGCUUAAAUUCUUCGCGAGCAACUUUCCUCCCCAUGUCUUGGAUAAGAUUAUGCAUCUGUAAUCUGUUACACUCAUCAACUGUUAUUAAACAUCUGUCUUCUAGAAUUGGUAUUCCAUGGUCAGGAUAAAAAUCACAAGAUUUAAAUGUAUAAACAGCAUCGUCUUUGUCCUUUCCAACAAAGAAGAAGACAAUAUCUAGGAAAAUUGCUCUCUCUGUCUCAUCAUCCAAUUCAUCAUAGCUUAGUUGAAGGAUUUCUUGUACCUGGUCCAUUGGAAUUUUCUGAACCUUGAUAAGCUUAGCUUCCCAAAAUGACACAUGAUUUCUACCACGCAAAGAUGAGCCUAACACCUUUAGAGCCAAUGGAAGACCUCCUGCAUAAGUUACAAACUCUGCUGAGAGCUCUCUAAACAUCUCAGGUGGCAUCGAUUUCCUAAAGGCGUGAUAGCUAAACAGCUCUAAUGAAUCAUUUUGUCCCAAUCUUUUCACCGUGUAUAUAUCUACUUCUGGAAUAUCUACCUUCAGUUGAUUUAGCAAAUUUGCAUCUCUUGUCGUAAAAAUAAUCCUACUUCCUGGAGAAGACAGGCUGCAGAGCUUUAUCUGCAAUUCUGAAGGGAUUGACUGGUCCAAAUCAUCCAGAACAAUGAGAGCUUUAUUUAAACAAAGAAUUUGUUUCAACUGUCUUAUUCCACUUUCCACAUCAGUGACCCUACAAUCAUUGUUUCUGAGAAGCUUAACCAAGAGUUGUUGAAGUAACCAAAGUAGAUUCUUACCCCCUUGUAAAUUUUCUUUAACAUUUUCAAUAAAGCAACUAACUGGGAACUUGUCAUGAUAACUAUUGUAAAAAGCUCUGGCAAUUGUAGUUUUUCCAAUACCUCCCAUACCACAUAUUCCAAGGGCACGGACAUCAUUUGAUUCCAUUUGUAGUUUUUGAUAAAUAUCUUCAACGACAGAAUCUACCCCGAACAGAUGUUCCUCAUUGUGUACUUUCACAGAUGCAUGUAGUCGUUCCGCAUUUUUCACAAUAUCUUGAACAAUGUCUGCUUCAUUUCUGUUAUUAAGUUUAUAAUCAAGACAACAGAAGAGGUUUUGUCAUGAAGAGAUCGCCUAUAGGGUUUUGUCACAAUAUUUAUGACAUGGAUGUUCACAUACACAGAUUCAAAAAUUCAGAUUACACUUAAUUUGCAAUAGUAACAUUCUCUGCAAAAGAUUUGUGCAUAUUUUAACAUUUUAAAGUAUAAAUUGCAUUAGGGUGACCCAAAGGGACUUAAUUUUAACGAAUACUAUACUAUAUCCAAACGAUUAUAGUAAAAAUAUAACAAGAUCAACAAAUAUAGAGGCUUACUCUCCUGCAUCUUUUUUGAGAUGGUAUCCUUUUAGCUUCCCAACUGCAGCAAGAGCACAUUCCCACUUCUUUAUCAUUUCAACAGAGUGAGUGUUCCUUUGACUGCGAAGACCUUCCAUAAAUUCCUUUCUCCGGUGCCGUACAUCUGAUGGAUUAACAUAGUAAAAAACAGGAACCACCACCAGGCCUUCUGUUCUUUCGCAACUAACGAUCUCCAACAGCUCACUAAGGCACCAUUUAGAAUAUGCAAAGUUCUUCGAAAUAACAACAACGCACAUCUUUGAACCACGGAUUGCGUUCAGUAGUCCCACUGAAAUUUCUUCGCCCUUUCGGAGUUGAGGUUCAUCCAUGAAGGUUUUAAAUCCUGCAUCAUGCAAAGCUUUGUAGAGAUGCGCAGUGAAGUUUCCGCGAGUGUCUUUACCAUGAAAACAUAGGAAGACGUCCCAGCUGCUACGUGGGAAUGCAGAAGAGGAAGAAGGCGCAGUUAAUGUUUCCACAUCCCGGCUGCCAGGCGGAGAUGGAGAAGAGGAAGAAGGGGCAGUUAAAGCAGUUGAAAUUGAACGCAUGAUGAUAGUGAUCAUGGGGAGUAUAACGAGAAGUGGCAGAACCCAAAUUAAAACUACCAGCAGAUGAUUGUAGUGCUCCAUAGCAGAGAUCGAACGAAUGUCGGAGUAUUAAACUAUGUGAUCCUUACCGAUAUGUGAUUUCAUGCAAAUAAGAUUGACAUUUUAUCAAACACCAUAUAUGCACACUGACUGGCAUUUUAAAUAGAAGCUAACUAGAAUAUCGGACUAUUAAAUUAUGUGGUCCUGACCGUUGUGUGAUGAGCAUCAUCUUGACUUCAAUGAGUAUCUUUCAGACGUCGCCGACAGUCACUGAAAUUCAUGAAAUUUCGAAGAUGCUUGAGUGUUUUUGGUUUUUUUAUAUACGAAAAGAAAAUAUUUUAAGCCUUUUUCUACUCGCUCAACUCUUUUUACAUGACUCAUUUAAAAAAAAAAUAAAAUUAGUUGACUAUUUAGUUUUCUUGUAUACUUCUAAUAAAUGUACUCACUCCGUCUCAAUUAAUUUAUAAGUCCUUUUUCAAAAAACACGCAUAUUAAAAAAAUAGUUGGUCAUAUAUAAUUUUAUCUCAUAUAUCAUUAGUUAGUACAGUGAUAAGAGAGAAUAGAGUUGAGUUUCAAAAAUUCAUAAUAAAUAUAAAAAUUUAGUGCAUUGAGAAAUGAGAAUAAUGUUGAGUUUUAAAAAAAUCAUAAUUAAUAUAGAGAUAAAUUUGUAUUGAAUGAAGAGAGAAACUUUUUUUCCCAAAAGGGACUCAUAAAAUGAGACAGAGGGAGUACUAAACUAAAUUGAUUUAUGUUUAUAUGUGUGGUAGUCAAACAUUGUAUAUAUUCUUUGAAAAACAUUCAAAAGAUUGUUCUGAAAAGAGAAACAGAUCAAGUAUUUUGGAACAUUUUUUUUUUUUAAAACGACUUGUAAGAACAUCUCCAACUAUGAGGAGCCUUUAGCUAAAAAUUUAUUUGGCAUACUAUAAAUAAAAAUUAUAGCCAAUUGAUUCAAAAAUCGACGCUCCAAGUCUCCAACUACACCAACCCCUUGUCUAUAAUUAUAAGUGGCUAUAUUUGUCGAAUCUCUACAUAUCUGUAAAAAAUUUGUUGAAAGAUUACACAUAAUUUAUUACCACAUUAAAUUAAUAUAUUCCAUUUAUAAUGAUGUAAAUAUUAACAAUAUACUAUUUUUAAAUUAUAGCCAAUUAAUAAAUAACGUUAUUGGAGAUGCUCUAAAAGAAGACAGAGGGAGUAAAUUAUAUUUUGAAAAUAUAUAUUUUUAUAAACCAUAAUUUAUUUAUUUUGUAUAAUCAUUAUUAUUAGUUGACACAUAAAAUAUUAUUUCAAUUUUGUUGGGUUAGGUUGAGUAAAAUUUAUCAGUAAUUAGAAAUAGUGUUAUAAUAAUUAUAAAAUUGAAAAUUCUAUCAAAUAUUGAGAUAUUGAUGUUUUUAAUUAUACAGUCCUGAUCAACAUGAAAAAUUCUUUGGAUAAUAAUAUAAUAAUAAUUAUAAAUCAUGAUUAAUAUGAAAAUCUUUUGAUAAUAAUAUAAUAGUCAUUAUUUUCAAAUAAAAAAUUAUAUAACGCUAAUCAAAUUUUGAUAUAUUAUAUUUAAUAAUCCUCAUGUGCAGCUGAAAUGUGAUUUGACUCGUUAAUAAAGGGUCUUGAUUUUCUUCCCCGAUUCUUUUUCUGCCCAUUUUUCUUAGCAGAUUACUUGGUAUUUUUCUGACCACAAGCUACAAGUCAAGUCAGUCAACGAUCUUUUAAAAUUAGAUCCACUUUUCAUACGAAACUUCACCAAAAUUUCCCAAACUUAAUGAAUUAUCUGCGAGACCAUUAUGCGGAGAAACCUACCUCUGCGAGACCAUUAUGCUAAGCAUGCGCUGAGUUUUACGGGUAUAAUCUUCAAUUUGACAGUUGACUAAUUCCAUUAGGUGGGCAACUGAAUCUGGCAGUUGCUCAAGUGUUGUAUAACUUGCAUCUUCAAACCCUUUAUAAGCACCCAGUUGCUCUGGCAACUGUCUUAGACUGCAGCAACCACUGACAUUUAAGCUGUCCAAAUUGGACAACUGUAUGAUAGGCUCGGGCAGUCUUUUAAGGCUGUGACAACGACGCAAAUCCAAAUUACCCAAUUCAGCUAAUUAUGCAGCUGACCGAGGUAAUAACUUCUCAACUAACUUUGAAUCUCUCAAGUCAGGGGCGGUUUUCAGGUUCUUCGAGUAACUGACAUUGAUAGUAUUCUAAAUUAGUUGAGAAGUUAUUACCAAAAUCAAGUCAGCAUAGUCGAAAAAUAUAAUUUCUUGCAAGUAACCCUUUAGCAUGCUAAAUUGUUUUUUGUAUAUAAAGUGCACGAGCAGUCUUAUUACUUGUCACUUACUAGUAGAUCUGUGUUGAAAUCAAAGUUCAACUAUGUAUCUACUCACUCAAAUUUCAUUCAAGUCUGGCAUAUAUGAGAACAUACUGCCAUUGACCAAUUCUUCAAAACUGACCAGAUUUGAACUAGUCUUGUUGGCCAAUAUUUGUAAAACAACUCGAAGACAAAUAAGAUGAAUAUAUUGAAGCUACAUUUAAGUCUAUGUUUUCUUAUUGUGAUACUACAACUCUACAAGUUGCCAUUUGCAAAUAUAUUAUGCAUUAAAUAAUCUCAUACUCGACAGUUUACUGCCUUAUUUGUGUUAUCUGAUUAUAUGUACAGUUAGUGAUAUACAAAAAUCUCAAUAAACUUUUACAAAGCAAGGAUUUGUACAAAUCACAAUCCUGUUAUCUUUUUUUUUUUCAGUAUAUGGGCCCCCCACUUCUCUACCUCCACUUCUCCAGAAGGAACUCUUACAAUUGACAGGCAAAUCGCUUUCAUGUGGACACCAAAUAUUUGACUAUAUGUACAGAAGUUAUAUACAAAAUCUCAAUAGACUUAUACAACUAACAAGGAUUUGUACAAAUCACAAUCUGGUGAUAUCUGUUUUGUGUAGUAUAUGGGCCCCCCACUUCUCUACCUCUACUUCUGCAGGCGGAACUCCUCUUUUACGUACAAAACAAACUUCAUCCCACGUAUAAAAAUAUAGUAUCCUAUUAAUUGAAACCGUAAUUCGAUCACCACUUUCCACUGACAUGUCCUUUGCCCUUAUGUAUUUUACUGUUGACCGUAGUUCAUCUCCAUUAUUCGCUGCUACAUCAAUGUCGACAUCCUUUCUAGUAGCCUUUGUUUUAUUGGUAAUAAGGGCACUAAAGUUAGAUUCAUCGCAUCUCUCUUGGCAUUUAUAGACAACCCAGAAUGCAAUACCUAAGAAGUUGUCUCCCAAGGCUGGUGAGAUCUGAAAAGAGAGUUUGCACUCACUGCUUGUAUAAUCAAACCAUUCUGGAAUCAUCUUGUUUGGUAGAUUAGCUCUAAAUGAAAACCAUCGUCUUCCCUGUAACAUUAAAAGAUGGUGAAUAUAUUUAUAGAUGUAUGGUUGUGUGUAAUUAACAGAGAUAUCGUUAGAGACACCAACAAAACCUGAAGGGUACUCUCUUUCAAACUGAUUGAUUUCAGGUUGCUGCACUUAACAAAACUUAGCUCUUCUAAUUCCUUCAACAUUGACAGAUCUGGUACUUCUUGCAGCUUUGUGCAUCCAUCUACCUUGAGUGAUUGAAGAUGAGGAGGAAGUGGAGGGAGAGAUCGAAGGCUGAUGCAUGCACUUAUAAUCACUCUCAAUAAGCAUUUUAAUCUGGAUAAAUCGGGUAGCUGUUCCAAUGUCGCAUUGUCAUAUACCCGCAACUGUUGUAGACUCAGAGGAAAUUCGUAAAAUGAGGGCCCACACCCUGAAUGGUUACGCAAUAUAAGACCAUGUAGGUUAGACAGCUUAAGAAGACUCAACGGCUCCGUUGAAAAACUCUGGCUCUCAUCAGUGAUGCUUAGCUCCUUCAAAGAAGGGAUACUUUGAAUCGUAGGUAGCCAUAACCUUAUAUUACAACAUAGGUCUAGACUUUCCAAUCUCGUACUCUUCAGCCUCUCAGGCAAAUCAAUUAUUUCUCCAUACGAUGUGGGAAAGUGUAAACUAGAAAGUGAC